rnacentral:rRNA from 1 species
UACGGAGGGUGCAAGCGUUAUCCGGAUUCACUUGGGUUUAAAGGGUGCGUAGGCGGACAGGUAAGUCAGUGGUGAAAUCUCUGGGCUUAACCCAGAACUGCCGUUGAUAUAUUGUCUUGAAUAUCUGGAGGUAGGCGGAUAAUGUCAUGUAGCGGUGAAAUGACUUAGAUAUACAUAGACACCGAUAGCGAAGCAGCUUACGUACAGGUGAAUUGACGUGAGG